rnacentral:rRNA from 1 species
UCUUUAACGGGCCUCGCUGUUUGCAAUUUUGUGCUUUUUGGGUGUACUUUUUCGUAUGGUAGGCCAACGUCAGUUUCGAUCACCGUAAAAUGAUCGGAGGAAUGUAGCUUCGAUCUCGUAUUGAAGUGUUAUAGCCUCUGGUAGAUGCGGUGACCGAAACUGAGGAUUGCAACGAAUACCCUUCUGGGCUAUCCGUCUGGCCUCUGAAAGUUGCUUAGGUGCCGAAAGCGUGCUUACGGCUAUUUAAGUUGACGGUCAACAGGUUAGAACGUGAUUACA